rnacentral:misc_RNA from 1 species
GUCAAAGAACGGAAUGGCGUGAAGGUAUCGACGUGGUUUUCCAACUUUCGAUAAGAUAAACAGUGUCCUGCACGAAACAGGACCAAUCAUUACAACGAUUUCACAGAGAAUGUAGCACUCUUAUCAGAAGAGUAUAAAUCAAUAAAGAUUCAAGAUGAGCGUUGAUGCUUACGGACCAAAUUCCCAAACUCUGACCUUCCUGGAUACCGAGGAGGACCUCCUUGGUGCAGAUACACAGGGUUCGGAAUUUGACUUCACCGACUUUACACUGCCCUCACAAACACAGUCUCAGACACAGGCUUCUCAGAUUGAGACUGGUCAAAGCCAGAGCCAGGCAAAUGAGGUUCCAGUACAGAAUGGCAUUGAUGGAACAGUCACAACAAUCACACAGGGUGUUGGGGAGCUACAGUUUGAGGAAGAAGAGGAGGAAGAACAAUUUUAUAUGAAAGAUCUACCGAAACAUGCCUGCGCAUAUUGUGGUAUACAUGAUCCAGCAUGUGUUGUACACUGCAAUACAACCAAGAAGUGGUUCUGUAAUGGUAGAGGUAAUACUUCUGGCAGUCACAUCAUUAAUCAUCUUGUGAGAGCUAAAGCCAAGGAGGUUACAUUACACAAGGACGGUCCUCUUGGAGAAACAGUGCUUGAAUGUUACAACUGUGCAUGCCGUAAUGUGUUCCUGUUGGGAUUUAUACCUGCCAAAGCUGACUCUGUUGUGGUGCUUUUGUGUCGACAACCUUGUGCCACUCUGAGUAACCUAAAGGACAUGAACUGGGACCCAUCCCAGUGGCAGCCAUUGAUCCAGGAUAGACAGUUCCUGCCUUGGUUGGUGAAGGUACCAUCAGAUCAAGAUCAGAUGCGAGCCCGCCAGAUCUCUGCCCAGCAGAUCAACAAGCUAGAAGAGCUAUGGAAAGAUAAUCCAGAGGCCAACCUCGAGGAUCUGGAGAAACCUGGAGUAGACGAGGAACCUCAGCAGGUCCUUUUAAGAUAUGAUGAUGCCUACCAAUACCAGAGUAUAUUUGGUCCACUGGUGAAGUUAGAGGCAGAUUAUGACAAGAAGUUGAAGGAGUCUCAAACCCAGGACAAUAUUGUAACAAGAUGGGAUGUUGGACUUAACAAGAAGAGAAUUGCUUACUUCAAUCUACCUAAAGCAAAUGAUGAGAUGAAGUUAAUGCAUGGAGAUGAGCUGAGGUUACGCUACAUGGGAGAGUUACAUAAACACUGGUCUGGAGUAGGCCAUGUCAUAAAAAUUCCUGACAACCACAGUGACGAGAUUGCCAUAGAGCUGAAAAGUAAUGCUGGUGUUCCUACUGAAUGUACACACAAUUUUGUUGUUGAUUUUGUCUGGAAAUCUACUUCAUUUGACAGAAUGCAGUCUGCCCUGAAGACGUUUGCAGUAGAUGAGACUUCAGUAUGGGGAUAUAUCUACCACAAGUUACUUGGACAUGAAGUAGAGGAUGUUGUUAUCAAAUGUCAGCUGCCUAAACGUUUCAGUGCCCCCAACCUCCCGGAACUCAAUCACUCCCAGGUGUAUGCUGUCAAAACUGUACUGCAGAGACCGUUAAGUUUGAUUCAGGGUCCCCCAGGAACUGGAAAGACUGUGACCUCGGCAACAGUUGUAUACCAUCUAGCCAAGCAAAGUAAUGGUCAAGUGUUAGUGUGUGCACCAUCUAAUAUAGCAGUGGAUCAACUUACAGAGAAAAUACACAAAACUGGACUGAAGGUGGUGAGACUUUGUGCCAAGAGUAGGGAAGCUAUAGAAUCACCAGUGGCAUUCCUUGCACUGCAUAAUCAGAUCAGAAAUAUGGACAGCUUGCCUGAGUUACAGAAGUUACAGCAGUUAAAGGACGAGACUGGAGAAUUGUCAUCAACAGACGAGAAACGCUACAGAUCUCUCAAGAAACAGUGUGAGAGAGAACUACUCCAGAAUGCAGAUGUAAUUUGCUGUACGUGUGUUGGAGCAGGCGACCCUCGUCUUGCCAAGAUGCAGUUCCGCUCAGUGUUGAUUGAUGAAAGUACCCAGGCCACAGAACCAGAGUGUAUGAUUCCAGUAGUGCUUGGAUGCAGACAGUUGAUCCUGGUUGGAGACCACUGCCAGCUUGGACCUGUUGUGAUGUGUAAGAAGGCAGCCAGAGCUGGACUAUCCCAGUCCCUGUUUGAGAGACUUGUUGUGUUGGGGAUCAGACCUAUACGUCUACAAGUGCAGUACCGUAUGCACCCUGCUCUCAGUGCUUUCCCAUCUAACAUCUUCUAUGAAGGGUCCCUGCAGAAUGGUGUCACUCCAGCGGAAAGAAUUCGUAGUAGUUUGGACAUACCGUGGCCUCAGCCAGACAAGCCAAUGUUCUUCUAUACAUCCUCUGGGCAGGAAGAGAUCUCCAGCUCUGGAACUUCCUAUCUCAACAGAACUGAGACUGCCUCAGUAGAGAAAAUAGCAACACGUUUCCUGCGUUCCGGGGUGAAGCCAGAGCAGAUUGGUAUUAUCACACCAUACGAGGGACAGAGGGCCUACAUUGUACAGUACAUGCAAUACAGUGGCUCAUUGAACAAGAAACUCUACAUUGAAAUAGAAGUUGCCAGUGUUGAUGCUUUCCAAGGACGAGAGAAAGAUUUCAUUAUCUUAUCUUGUGUCAGGUCUAAUGAACAUCAGGGCAUUGGUUUCCUCAAUGAUCCAAGACGUCUCAAUGUGGCACUUACCAGAGCUAAAUAUGGUAUUAUAAUUGUGGGCAACCCUAAGGUGUUAUCCAAGCAACCACUGUGGAACCAUUUGUUGACCUACUACAAAGAGCAGAGAUGUCUGGUGGAGGGGCCUCUCAACAACAUGAAGGAAAGUCUAAUACAGUUCAGCAAGCCAAGGAAGCUUGUCAACUCUACAAAUCCUGGUGGUCGCUUUAUGAGUAACACAAUGUUUGAUGCCAGAGAGGUGCUUAUACCCGGCAGUAUCUAUGACAGAAGUGUAGGCUACAGGGAGCCAGUGGUACGUACCCAUGACCAGCUUGGUUUUAUUGGACCUGAGAGAGCAUACACAGGACCAGGAAUGAACAUGCCGAUCCCAGUAAACAUGUUUAUCAGCCCUAUGCCACAGCCCUUCCAUCCACCACAACAACCCAUGCAGAUACCUGCAAAUGCACGUGGACGUGGUGGUGGAGGACGUGGACGAGGCAUGCGCACCAAACCACCACGGUAUAGUCAGCACACACCGCAGAGUCAGACAUCACAGCUGACCAACAGUCAGAGCCAGGCUAGUCAGGACAUCUCACAGCCAUUCUCCCAGGGACCGCUAACACAGGGUGGUCUCUCUAUGAGCCAGCCGUUCCAGAUGAGCCAGCCAGGCCUCUCUGGAUUGUCUCAGCCAGAAUUAUCACAGGACAGUUUCCUGGCGGAUGACUUCAAGUCACAGGCUGAUGGCAUGUUGUCGCAGGACUCGACAUACCAGGGCGACCGCAUGUUCUAUGCUUCACAGCUCUCACAAGGUCCUUUCAACUAAACAGGAGCUUCACGCCAACUAACAAGGAAAAGGAGAUGUUUGAUGAAGUGAAAUGAUGAGACAUCAUCGUAACCAACGACAACCAGUUGUGUAGAAGGAGAGAGCAGUGUCAGUAUGUCUGACGACAAUGACAACCACUCAGUGACAACAUGGCGUCCAUGCCACACCUACAGUCUCACCAACACCACUCUCAGUGACCGUCUGUCAUCAACAAGCGAUUACAGAAAAAAAUGACUGGUUCCUUUACAAACAUCACAUGACUGUACAUGUGAAAAGAAUGAAACCACAGUCUGGGUUCAUAAAAGAAACAUUUUAAUUAAGGAAUAAAUAGAACCAGACUUGGUGAAUAAUGAGGGCAAACCAGUCUGGUCUAGAAGCUGAUAGAGUGGGAACCAUUCUGAGCAACAGGAAGUGGUGAUACGUCUGCUGACUGUCACAUGGUCAAUGUCAAGGACACUGCAGAUUGAUUUGUUAAUUGCUUGCUACAAUGGAAGUUGUUGGGAUAUCUUGAGAUACUAUUUGAUGGUUCUAACGUGAUUAUAUACAAAUUACAAUUAGAUAUGAUUUGUGUUUUGCUAUUAGAGCUGGUGUGUUUUGAGGGAAGAACGCAUUGGAUUGAAGAUGGGGAUCAAACUGUCAUAUAUAAACUGUUAUAAAAUACUUCCAACAGAACAUAAAAGGAAGACACUUGGAACAUUGUUAAAUCACCAUGCAUAAGUAUACCAAAUGGCUGCGUCGCUCUUCUUCAUGUUGAUUGCAGUAUUAUAUUAAACUUUGAAAAUAGAAAUUUUGUUCCUCAUAAAAUAUGAAUGGUGUUUAUUAGAGUCAGUUGUGCAAGUCUGUGUCAGUUAUGAAUUUGUAAGUCUUUUCUUGAUUAUAGUAAAACAUUAUGUCUUUAAGUUGGCUAAAUACAAACAAGUAAUUUUAUUAAUAGAUUUUAUAAGAGUUGUAUUGAUUUCUUGCAGUUACCAGAGACUGAGAGAGCAGUUGCCUUCUGCAAAAUUUCUUUUUUUUGCUCUCAUCUUUCAAAUGAAUUAUGUAAUCCCAUUUUUUUUCUUCAGAUUUUCUCAGUAAAAGAAUGUAAACGAUGUUUUUUAUCUGAAAGAUAUGGUGGAGUAGCUUGCUUUGAUAUCCAUUUAAUACAUUCUGCUUUGAUGAAAAAAAGUCAUAUUUUUCAAAUAGAUUGGACAAGUGCUUUUCAUUGUUUCAGUAGAAUGCAUUUACUUGGGAACUUUAAAUUGGCAGGUACAGUAAAACUUUAAUUGCUGGAUGUUGUAUGGAGAGAUGAGCAGUCCUCGAGGUGUCUGUAGUUUUGGGUUAUCAAAACAGAAAAUAGAAGUGGUAGGGCCUGAGACCAGCAAGUUUGGGUACCCAGAGUCUGAUGCUCGAGCAAGCAGUGUUUCGCUGUACCUUAAUUAUUCAUAAUGAUUACAAAUUUAGAGAGAACUCAUUUCAUGGUUAUGAGACAGAAACAAUACAUUUAGGUAGAGAAUUUUUUACUGGUAUUAAUAAGCUUACAUGCAACUGUGCCAAGAUGGUUCAAUGCUUGAUAUUUUAGUGUUGUGUUGAAUUUGUUCUGUUUUAAUUUGAUUAGUGAAGCAAGAGGUAAAACCUUGGUAUGUAUUUGGUUUCAUUCUUGAAUAAAAUUCAUGAAGAAAAAGACUGACACUCAUAGACAAAAGUGAGAAAAAUGCGUCUUUUAUUUCUGUAAGCAACAUUGUUGUAAGGAGUUGAAAAUUUAUUGCAGAGAAUGAGGUCUAAUAAGUUAUAGAAAUGUGAAUGUAAACAAACAAUUUUGUAGACAAAUUUACUUUUUUAUGACGGUAUUUUUUUUUAGAUAUAGCUAGUCAUCGACAAUGGCUUUCCAAAUUUUCCAAGUAUGACACUAUAGGUUUUCUUUUGUAUUAUCCUGAUUUCGCCACGCACAAUGUUCGAGUGACUUCGUAUGAUUGAUAUUUUGACAACUUCCGUGGAAUUUGUAUUAUUAUUUUUAAGAACAGAUGUGAUGUUAAUGACUCAACUCUGCUGAUAAGUAAAAAAAGAAAGAAUUCUGUUGUAUGACUGUGUUGAGAAAAAAUUUUGUUUAGCUUUUCAAAUUGUUUGGAUAAGGCUUGUUAGGUGGAGACUUUGAGAAAUUGAUAUUUUUGUUACAGUUUUCCUUAAUGAUAUGCAUGAUCUUCAGUUCAGUGCAUUUUUCCUGCCCCUGUGUAUUCAAUUGAUAGAUGAUUUUAAAUGAUUUUAGCUCC